rnacentral:rRNA from 1 species
CCUACGGGUGACUGCAGUGGGGAAUAUUGCACAAUGGGGGAAACCCUGAUGCAGCGACGCCGCGUGAGUGAAGAAGUAUCUCGGGAUGGAAAGCUCUAUCAGCAGGGAAGAAAAUGACGGUACCUGACUAAGAAGCCCCGGCUAACUACGUGCCAGCAGCCGCGGUAAGACGUAGGGGGUAAGCGUCAUCCGGAUUUACUGGGUGUAAAGGGAGCGGAGCCGGCGCUGCAAGUCCGGAGUGAAAGCCCAUGGCUUAACCAUGGUACUGCUCUGGAAACUGUGGAGCUUGAGUGCGGGAGGGGCAGGCGGACUUCCUCGUGUAGCGGUGCACUGCGUAGAUAUUAGGAGGAACACCGGCGGCGAAGGCGGCCUGCUGGACCGUACCUGCCGUUGAGGCUC